AACAUGCAAGUCGAACGAUCUAGCAAUAGAUAGUGGCGCACGGGUGCGUAACGCGUGGGAAUAUGCCCUUCACUACGGAACAACGUCGGGAAACUGACGCUAAUACCGUAUAAUGACUCCGGUCCAAAGAUUUAUCGGUGAAGGAUUAGCCCGCGUCUGAUUAGCUAGUUGGUGAGGUAACGGCUCACCAAGGCGACGAUCAGUAGCUGGUCUGAGAGGAUGAUCAGCCACACUGGAACUGAGACACGGUCCAGACUCCUACGGGAGGCAGCAGUUAGGAAUAUUGGACAAUGGGGGAAACCCUGAUCCAGCCAUGCCGCGUGAGUGAAGAAGGCCUUAGGGUUGUAAAGCUCUUUCGGCUGUGAAGAUAAUGACAGUAGCAGAAGAAGAAGCCCCGGCUAAAUUCGUGCCAGCAGCCGCGGUAAUACGAAUGGGGCGAGCGUUGUUCGGAAUCACUGGGCGUAAAGGGUGCGCAGGCGGUCAUGAAAGUCAGAAGUGAAAUCCCAGGGCUCAACCCUGGAAU
rnacentral:rRNA from 1 species